GUUAGGUGAGCUCAAACCCUCAUGGCUUGGAUCAGCCCAACCAUGCCCACCUAGCCCUGUGCCUCAGGAAGAUAAGUAAUGAGAUAAGAGUCUGCACUGCUGCUGGUCCGACCUGGGGCAAGCCAAGCCCUCGGGCCCCAGAGGAAACAAAUCCCAGAAAUUCUCCUGAUGCAGUAAGAGCAAACCAAAGGAGCAGGCAAAGAGGACCCAGGGAACAUCAUCUCUUACAUGGACAAAAUCAAGUUGCCCCCAAUAAGCAGAAAUAAGCAUUAGAAUUGCUAACAGCUGGCCCUUGUAAAACAACUGUUAAUUGCCUUAAAUACAUGGAACCAGCAAAUUCACAUCAAAAACUUGUGGUCAAGCCUCAAGGAACUUUUUGGAAAGAAAAAAAAUCCUUUUUUUAGGAUAAGCUUAGGGAAAGACAAACCACUUCUUUAAAAGGAAAGCCAAUGAGUAGCCUUCCCCCCAUCAUUAUAUUUUAGAUGCAAACCACCCAAAAUCUGGCUUUUCUCUGAAGUUAGAAUCAUGUCUGUCAUGUAUAUGAUGGACCUUUUAAUCAGCUGGGCCUUUUGAGUUAAUGUGGAUUGAUAUAAAUGUGACUCAGCAACCUCAUUAAUCAAAUCUAACGAGCUGGAGCCUUCACCCCCCUCCUGAUGGAUUUGUUGGUGUCCCCCACUGCCUGCCUCACUUCCUAAAAAUAUCUGGAGAGUGCAAAAGAGGAUGAGAAAGCAGCAGACCUUGCUUGAAGAAGUCUGCCUGUGCCUCUGCAGUGUGUGAGGUUUUGCCAAAUCUCUAGAAGCUGCUGUUAAAUCUCUGGCUAGAUGUUAGGGACUCUCUGGAUAACAGGGCUUUAACUGGAUGCCUCAGCUUGGAUAACAUUCCAGAGUUUCCUGCUAGUUGUAGGAGUUGUAUUUCUGUUGGAAGGCGACCAGAAUGAGAGGAAGGGAAGGCUUAUUUUUUGAUGCAUAGUUCCACUAAAAACUGGCCUUCUUCCUGCUCUGCUGUCAGCUGUGUGGACACAUCUGUGUCCACAGCUGGACAAGAAACAAAUACAUUCACCUCAUGCCCUUGUUUGUGUCUCCUGCACCCCC